rnacentral:rRNA from 1 species
AUUGAACGCUGGCGGCAUGCCUUACACAUGCAAGUCGAACGGUAGCAGGUCUUCGGAUGCUGACGAGUGGCGAACGGGUGAGUAAUACAUCGGAACGUGCCUAGUAGUGGGGGAUAACUACUCGAAAGAGUGGCUAAUACCGCAUGAGAUCUACGGAUGAAAGCAGGGGAUCGCAAGACCUUGUGCUACUAGAGCGGCCGAUGGCAGAUUAGGUAGUUGGUGGGAUAAAAGCUUACCAAGCCGACGAUCUGUAGCUGGUCUGAGAGGACGAUCAGCCACACUGGAACGGAGACACGGCCCAGACUCCUACGGGAGGCAGCAGUGGGGAAUUUUGGACAAUGGGCAAAAGCCUGAUCCAGCAAUGCCGCGUGCAGGAUGAAGGCCUUCGGGUUGUAAACUGCUUUUGUACGGAACGAAAAGCCCCGGGUUAAUAUCCUGGGGUCAUGACGGUACCGUAAGAAUAAGCACCGGCUAACUACGUGCCAGCCGCCGCCGUAA